rnacentral:miRNA from 1 species
GGUGUAUGUCUGUGUGUGUAUAUCUGUGGUUGUGUGUGUGUGUGUGUGUAUAUAUAUAUAUAUAUAUAUAUAUACACACACACACACACACACACUUAACCACAGAGAUACACACACAAC